rnacentral:lncRNA from 1 species
UUUCGAGUGUUUUAUGUAAAUUUACUGACUUUUGCUACUUAAGAGUGUUUAAAAUAAAGAUAAGUACUUUUAAUGGGCAAAUAAAAUAUAGUAUGCAUGUAUGCUUUGGACUGAAUAAAAAAUGUAUUUAUAUUAAUUUAAUCUUAUUUUCUGACUUUGCCGCUCUCGCUAAAAUUUCAAACCAAUUCAUCCACAAUUAUUGUUAUGAUCCGCUUUAGUACCUCAUUGCCACAAAUUGAAUACAGGCGUAGCCACCUUGUCUGAUACUGUGAUAGCAAUGCGAUAGUCGUUUCAAGCUUGAUCAGCAUAAAUAAUACUAAUAUUUGCAUGUCAUUUACACACUUCAGAGUUCAGUAGUCUUAAUUUAGACGCCAUACUUAAAACACAACAGCGUUAAUUUUAUGCUUUAUUCUUCAGAAGAAGUCGCUCGAAGAUGGAAUCGAAUUAUUCUAUCAAUCUGUUAGCCAUAUUUGCUGUGAACGUAUUCUUCUUUUUCUCAGGAAUAUUUUUAAAUUCCUUGGUUAUACUCAGUUUCUGGAGGUCUGUACAGCUUCGAAAAAAAUUAUGUUACUUCAUGGUAAUGGUUUUGUCCUGUUGCGAUUUGCUCGGGGUUAUAACUAACAGUCCAUUGAUGGCUCUGAUCGCGAUCAUAUGCUUUACUGGAAAAUGGGAUGAAAAUGCUGGAUGGGCUCAUAUUUCCUCAACAUCGACAAGUAGUUUCCUUGCUUUUUCAUUAUUCGCUCUUCUGGUGAUGAAUUUCGAUCGAUAUUUGGCGACAUCUUAUCCUAUCUUUCAUCGAACGUCGGUAACAAAGGGAAAACUUUUAACUCUUCUUGCAAUACUGAUCACCAUCGAAGUAAUUUUGAGAGCGAUGUCUGUGAAUAACUUUCUUAUUUCCAACCAAUGGCAUGCUGCAAUUUUUUUUAGUUUUUUCAUUCCUCCAAUGUUAUUUAUCAACUACAAACUUAUUCUAGUCGUCAGGAAAAGUCGUAAAAACAAAAGAAUAUCACUCGAAAUCAAAAAGACGUUUUCUUUCAAAAAUGUUUCUAGUUGUUUGCUAACAGUCGCUUGUGUCGUGGUGUUGUCCAUUCCAAUGGUCGUCUACAUUGGACUAAAGAUAAGCUCACCAAAGACAACGGGCACUUUAAGUAUCGCAUACCUUGCAAGACUCUGGGCAAAAACCAUAAGCUUGAUGAAUGGUACAUUUAACUGUUUAAUCUUUUACUGGAAAAACAAGGUGUUACGUACCGAAGGAUUAAAAGUUUUGAAAAGCCUGAAGAUAUGUCGACGGGUUGAAUCCCGCUAGCUGCAUUUAUAACCCUUCUUCACGAAAACUUAACGUUCCAAGGAAACUCGUUGCAUUUCAGGAUUUUAAUUUUGCCUUACACUGUAUCCUCAUGGCUUAGCUAACAAUAUCUUGAUCAUAGUAAAUGUGAACACAACAACUAUAAACUCAUAGGCAGGGUGUGUCAAAAAUAGCUGACCAGUUUUGGCAUGUUAUUUUGCGUUAAAUAUUGCGUACAUUGAUUUAAUUUCCCCAUACUAAUAAGGAUUACGCCUUUGACUAUCGAAUGAGACUUUUUUUGUAUCAUUGCGUUACGAACUGGCUUAUUAUUUCUGCCGUUAAUGGCUAUAGACUAUAUUAUACAGCAAUUAUUUUUAUCAUUCGCUCUCGUCGUAUAUGGCUGACACCGACUUGGCGAGCUAUCACUUAUCAGGACAUAUACGACUCGAGCUUAUGACAUAAUUGUUAAUUAUACACACUUUAGUAAUUCGUUAUAAUGACUUUGAGUAGUUUUGGCAACAAAAGGCCAAUAGUACAUUGUUACACUGCAUUAAUAUAUAAGUAGUACGUUGUAUAAUUACUUUGCUAUAGUGCGAGUGCCAUUUAAUAGAAUAACACAGAGACAUAUAGUUAUAGAGUAAAAAUAGAAAGUGAGACUGCAGUUUGUAUUUCUAAAUAUUUCGUAAGUAUUAAAUUCUCAUUAUUGGGAAUGGUAAAACUAGAGACAGUUGUAGUUAGGCGCUUCAGAGUUUCAAUAAAUUCAAGGAAAGGAACGUUUGAUUGUGAGUUUCUCUGAAAAUGUCCUGGCAGACUGUAUUCUGCCUUUUUUCGGCCCCAGGCCAUUUUUCUGCUGUUGCAAUGACAGAAAAUGAUUGGUACUUAUAAACUUCCAAGUUUUUUCUUCAUGAAAUUAUAAAGAGAAUUAUAUUGAAAGCAGAAUAUUGUGUUUAUAAAGUCAACACAUAAGUAAAGCACCUGCUUAGGGACUUUGUUUUAAGUUUAAAGUUGAAACUGAGAUUUGGCGUAAAUAAUUUCGCUGGCAAAUGGGAUUUAGAAUUUUAGGACCCUUUCAUAAAUUAUGAAAUAUUUCCAAACA